CGCUGGCGGCGUGCUUAACACAUGCAAGUCGAACGGUAAGGCCCUUCGGGGUACACGAGUGGCGAACGGGUGAGUAACACGUGGGUGAUCUGCCCUGCACUUCGGGAUAAGCCUGGGAAACUGGGUCUAAUACCGGAUAGGACCAUGGACUUCACGGUUUGUGGUGGAAAGCUUUUGCGGUGUGGGAUGGGCCCGCGGCCUAUCAGCUUGUUGGUGGGGUAAUGGCCUACCAAGGCGACGACGGGUAGCCGGCCUGAGAGGGUGUCCGGCCACACUGGGACUGAGAUACGGCCCAGACUCCUACGGGAGGCAGCAGUGGGGAAUAUUGCACAAUGGGCGCAAGCCUGAUGCAGCGACGCCGCGUGAGGGAUGACGGCCUUCGGGUUGUAAACCACUUUCAAUAGGGACGAAGCGCAAGUGACGGUACCUAUAGAAGAAGCACCGGCCAACUACGUG
rnacentral:rRNA from 1 species